CCUAUCGUGGCGUAGGGGUAACGCGCCCUAACUAGAGAUCGGGGAGUCGUGAGUUCGAUUCUCACUGUGAAGA
rnacentral:tRNA from 1 species